rnacentral:rRNA from 1 species
GAUGAACGCUGGCGGCGUGCCUAAUACAUGCAAGUCGAGCGAACGGACGAGAACCUUGCUUCUCUGAUGUUAGCGGCGGACGGGUGAGUAACACGUGGAUAACCUACCUAUAAGACUGGGAUAACUUCGGGAAACCGGAGCUAAUACCGGAUAAUAUUUUGAACCGCAUGGUUCAAAAGUGAAAGACGGUCUUGCUGUCACUUAUAGAUGGAUCCGCGCUGCAUUAGCUAGUUGGUAAGGUAACGGCUUACCAAGGCAACGAUGCAUAGCCGACCUGAGAGGGUGAUCGGCCACACUGGAACUGAGACACGGUCCAGACUCCUACGGGAGGCAGCAGUAGGGAAUCUUCCGCAAUGGGCGAAAGCCUGACGGAGCAACGCCGCGUGAGUGAUGAAGGUCUUCGGAUCGUAAAACUCUGUUAUUAGGGAAGAACAUAUGUGUAAGUAACUGUGCACAUCUUGACGGUACCUAAUCAGAAAGCCACGGCUAACUACGUGCCAGCAGCCGCGGUAAUACGUAGGUGGCAAGCGUUAUCCGGAAUUAUUGGGCGUAAAGCGCGCGUAGGCGGUUUUUUAAGUCUGAUGUGAAAGCCCACGGCUCAACCGUGGAGGGUCAUUGGAAACUGGAAAACUUGAGUGCAGAAGAGGAAAGUGGAAUUCCAUGUGUAGCGGUGAAAUGCGCAGAGAUAUGGAGGAACACCAGUGGCGAAGGCGACUUUCUGGUCUGUAACUGACGCUGAUGUGCGAAAGCGUGGGGAUCAAACAGGAUUAGAUACCCUGGUAGUCCACGCCGUAAACGAUGAGUGCUAAGUGUUAGGGGGUUUCCGCCCCUUAGUGCUGCAGCUAACGCAUUAAGCACUCCGCCUGGGGAGUACGACCGCAAGGUUGAAACUCAAAGGAAUUGACGGGGACCCGCACAAGCGGUGGAGCAUGUGGUUUAAUUCGAGGCAACGCGAAGAACCUUACCAAAUCUUGACAUCCUUUGACAACUCUAGAGAUAGAGCCUUCCCCUUCGGGGGACAAAGUGACAGGUGGUGCAUGGUUGUCGUCAGCUCGUGUCGUGAGAUGUUGGGUUAAGUCCCGCAACGAGCGCAACCCUUAAGCUUAGUUGCCAUCAUUAAGUUGGGCACUCUAAGUUGACUGCCGGUGACAAACCGGAGGAAGGUGGGGAUGACGUCAAAUCAUCAUGCCCCUUAUGAUUUGGGCUACACACGUGCUACAAUGGACAAUACAAAGGGCAGCGAAACCGCGAGGUCAAGCAAAUCCCAUAAAGUUGUUCUCAGUUCGGAUUGUAGUCUGCAACUCGACUACAUGAAGCUGGAAUCGCUAGUAAUCGUAGAUCAGCAUGCUACGGUGAAUACGUUCCCGGGUCU